rnacentral:rRNA from 1 species
GCGCAGCAGUCGCGAAAACUCCACAAUGUGGGAAACCACGAUGGGGGAACUCCCAGUGCGCACACUUUGUGUGCGCUGUUCUCCUGCCUAAAAAGCAGGAGAAGUAAGGGCCGGGUAAGACGGGUGCCAGCCGCCGCGGUAAUACCGGCCGCCCGAGUAGUGACCACUAUUAUUGGGCCUAAAGCGUCCGUAGCCGGUUUUGUAAGUUUCUGGGUAAAUCCCACAGCUUAACUGCGGGAAUUCCAGAAAUACUGCAGAGCUAGGAGCCGGGAGACGCAGAAGGUACUCCUGGGGUAGGGGUGAAAUCCUAUAAUCCUAGGGGGACCACCAGUGGCGAAGGCGUUCUGCGAGAACGGGCUCGACGGUGAGGGACGAAAGCUGGGGGAGCGAAUCGGAUUAGAUACCCGCGUAGUCC